rnacentral:tRNA from 1 species
GCCCAUAUAGCUCAGCUGGUAGAGCACUUCCUUGGUAAGGAAGAGGUCACCGGUUCGACUCCGGUUAUGGGCUCCA